UAAUUUAAUAUGAAUAUUUAAUUCUGAUGUUAUAAUUUCUAAAAAAAAGGAAUGUCUAUUUUUUUUUAUAACAUUGACGGCAUAAUUUAUGGGCUGAGUAGCCAAACUUUUCCCGCAAUAUUCAAAACACCACAAAUACAAAAGAAACUAAAUUAAGAAUAGAAAGAAAAUUUCAUAUUCAUACAAUGAUGCUUCUCCCAUUCCAAUCCAUUCUUCAUUUCGAUUCCCUCAAUCCUUCCCGCUCCGACCCUGUACCCGAAUUCCCAUAUUCAUUUCGCCGCAGGAGGACCCGGUCGCCUGCUCUUACCAAAGCUGCAUUCAAGAGAAACGUAGACUACAAGAAUGAUAAGGAGAAGAAGCCAAAUAUCUGUACUGCUGACGAGCUUCACUACGUUCAUGUAGACAAAUCGGAAUGGAAGGUGGCUCUUUGGAGAUACCUUCCUUCUCCACAGGCACCAACCAGGAAUCAUCCAUUGAUGCUUUUGUCAGGCGUAGGAACCAAUGCUAUUGCUUACGAUCUUUCCCCUGAGUCCUCGUUCGCACGCUUCAUGUGCGGUCAAGGAUAUGACACCUGGAUUCUUGAACUCAGAGGUGCUGGAUUGAGUACACAAGGAAUGGAUUUUGGACAAUAUAAAGACCCUUUAGAUUCUAUUUCUCAGAGGAAGGAAUUUUAUGGUAAGGGUACAGAUUAUAAGAGUUUUUCAGAAACAGAAAAAAGAUAUGCUUUUUCCAGUCAAAUUACGGAUUUAAUUGAAAAGCUUGUAAAUAUAAUUGAAGAAGCUGAAAGAUCAUCUCCAGUACGUUCUUUUGAUAUGCAAAACAGCAUUUCUACAGCACUAAAAGAUAUGCAGAAACAACUUGAUCUUAUUUCCAAGUAUGAUUGGGACUUUGACAACUACCUAGAAGAAGACGUCCCUGCUGCGAUGGAAUACAUAAAGGAUAAGAGUGAACCAAAGGAUGGCAAGUUACUUGCAAUUGGUCAUUCUAUGGGCGGUAUCUUGCUAUAUGCGAUGCUAUCACGAUGUGGUUAUGAAGGAAAGGAUUCUGGAUUGGCAGCAGUCACUACUUUGGCAUCAUCAUUGGACUAUAUGUCUUCUAGAUCGUCACUCAAACUGCUUUUACCCCUGGCAAACCCUGCACAGGUCCUGAAUGUUCCUGUUAUUCCAAUUGGAACAUUGCUUGCUGCUGCCCAUCCUUUUGCAGCUAACCCUCCCUACCUCCUGUCUUGGUUGAGUCCUCAAAUUUCUGCCCCGGACAUGUUGCAGCCAAAGUUGUUUGAAAAGCUUGUUACGGAAAACUUCGAGACAGUGCCUGCCAAGCUUCUCUUGCAGCUAGCAACAGCCUUUGAGGAGGGAGGAUUGCGUGACAGGAGUGGGACAUUCUUUUACAAGAAUCAUCUCAGUAAAAGCAAUGUCCCCGUCUUAGCAAUUGCCGGAGACCAAGAUCUGAUAUGUCCGCCUGAUGCGGUAUAUGAAACAGUGAAGCUUAUUCGCGAGCCAUUGGUCACAUACAAAGUUUUUGGAGGACCAGGUGGUCCGCAUUUUGCUCACUAUGAUAUAGUGGGUGCCCAACGGGCCGUAGAUCUAGUGUAUCCUUGUAUAAUUGAAUUUCUCAAUCAUCAUGACGCAGCUUGAAGUUGUCGAGACUUCUUCUUCAUUCAAGCUUCGUUCUGUAUUUUUUUCCCUUGAAGGAAGGAGCCGACUUAGGAAGAAUCUUCAAGCCAGCCUUGCCCUUAAAAUUCUACAUCAACUAGUACAUAUACAUACGUAAAAGCAGGUCAUUAAUGAUAUAGCCAUUAACGGAUGAUAUAGUAAUCGGUCGUUGACUAAGGUGGGGUCUGGACGGACGAUUGAGUACGGUGUGUUGCGUUUAGUUUACUUUUUAUCUCUCGCUACAAUAUCACUACAAUAUUUAAUCUUAUCGCCAUUGAUAUUUUUAUCCUAACCGUAGAUAAAUGCACUUCCCAUCUAAACUAAGUCUAAUUUGACAUGUGCCCACACAUAUAUUUAAAAAGUAGUUUUUAGAA